AGUGAACGCUGGCGGUAGGCCUAACACAUGCAAGUCGAACGGCAGCACAGUAAGAGUUUGCUCUUACGGGUGGCGAGUGGCGGACGGGUGAGGAAUACAUCGGAAUCUACUUUUUCGUGGGGGAUAACGUAGGGAAAGUUACGCUAAUACCGCAUACGACCUACGGGUGAAAGCAGGGGAUCUUCGGACCUUGCGCGAUUGAAUGAGCCGAUGUCGGAUUAGCUAGUUGGCGGGGUAAAGGCCCACCAAGGCGACGAUCCGUAGCUGGUCUGAGAGGAUGAUCAGCCACACUGGAACUGAGACACGGUCCAGACUCCUACGGGAGGCAGCAGUGGGGAAUAUUGGACAAUGGGCGCAAGCCUGAUCCAGCCAUACCGCGUGGGUGAAGAAGGCCUUCGGGUUGUAAAGCCCUUUUGUUGGGAAAGAAAAGCAGCAGGUUAAUACCCCGCUGUUCUGACGGUACCCGAAGAAUAAGCACCGGCUAACUUCGUG
rnacentral:rRNA from 1 species